GGAAGGGGUGUAUUUAUUAGAUUAAAAACCAAUGCCCUCCGGGGCUCACUGGUGAUUCAUGAUAACUCCUCGAAUCGCAUGGCCUUGCGCCGGCGAUGGUUCAUUCAAAUUUCUUCCCUAUCAACUUUCGAUGUUUGGGUAUUGGCCAAACAUGGUUGCAACGGGUAACGGAGGGUUAGGGCUCGACCUCGGAGAAGGAGCCUGAGAAACGGCUACUACAUCCAAGGAAGGCAGCAGGCGCGCAAAUUACCCAAUCCCGACACGGGGAGGUAGUGACAAUAAAUACUGAUACAGGGCUCUUUUGGGUCUUGUAAUUGGAAUGAGUACAAUUUAAAUCCCUUAACGAGGAACAAUUGGAGGGCAAGUCUGGUGCCAGCAGCCGCGGUAAUUCCAGCUCCAAUAGCGUAUAUUAAAGUUGUUGUGGUUAAAAAGCUCGUAGUUGAACCUUGGGCCUGGCUGGCCGGUCCGCCUCACCGCGUGUACUGGUCCGGCCGGGCCUUUCCCUCUGUGGAACCCCAUGCCCUUCACUGGGCGUGGCGGGGAACCAGGACUUUUAC
rnacentral:rRNA from 1 species